GGGGAGAGAGAAAGGAGGGGAAAUGAACCUCAAGCCGACCCCACGCACUGAGCGCUGAGCUUACACCCGGAAGCUGACCCUUAAGCGACUGAGCCACCCCAGGCGCAGCGCUGCUAUAUAAACUUUCAAAAUUCUUAGGGCAGAUGUGGAGAUCUACUCAUCUUGCUGCCGCAGAGGACAGUCCCACAGUUUCCAUUGUGCUACCUCAACACUAAAUUCACCUUGAUGAAACACCUACCAGUUGGUGAUGGCCUGCCUCCUGGAUACCUGAAGAUAAGCUUGGACUGGACAGUCAACCAGCUGAGAGAUGCUAUUACUUUGGUCAGAGAGACCUUGGUAUAACAUAGGAAGGGACUACACAAGGGUGUGAGUACCAGGAGGGAAGCAUCAUUGGGAACCAUCCUGGAGUCUGUCACAGAUAAUUAGGACCUCAGUGAAACCAGGUGGGAGGAUGAAACAGAGAUCAACGGUCUACCUUCAUACGGAGAGAAUUAGGACGAAGAUAUAAGCAAGACUUUCUACUGUUAUUCUAACCUUGCUGAUCAUGGUAUCUAAUGAGUUUUCCUUUUAAAUGAAAAAGAAGUUGAGUGUGGAUAUGAGAGUGUUUCUCAGAGACAGUUGUGUUGGUCCCUCCUUGGAUCUUUGGGAAUUUUCUUAUCCCUAACCUUCACUUUGCCUUUGUUUCUCUUAUGUGGAAGAGAGUAACAGCUUUAGAAUCUCAUGUCAAGAUAGGUUUGAAGAGAAACAUAAAACAGCAAAAGCCACGAUCAGUUUUGUUUUUAAAGCUUUCAAGAGCAUCACAGGAAACUUCCCAUGCUUCAGGAGCUCAUCAACCAGAGGAGCCCAAGACCUAGCCUUUUGUAGCUGUGCUCCUACUGGUUUGUUCUGUGUCACUGGAAAUCCUCUCUUUAUCUGAAUUUUGUUAAUUCUCCAACUAAUCAAAAUUAUGAUUGUGUAAGUGAUUUAAGUGAGAGGCAAGCCUAUGAACUUUUUGCUCCAGUAGCUAAUAAUCGGUGAUUGCUUUUACAUUUGAUAUAUAUAUAUUUUUUGUAUUUUCUAUAGGGAGAUCACCUCACUCUUCUCUUCACAGUCCUCUGCAGACUUCCCAUUCCACACGGAAUAAAAUGUGUACUUUCAUGACGGCGGACAGAUCCCUCCUGCAGCUUUCCCUUUGCCUCCUCUGUUCUAGUCUUGCAGGCCAGGCCUCCUUACCCUUCCUUUGAAACAAAAGCAUACUGUUCCUUUUACCCUGUUUUGUGCAUGUGAUUUGUGCAAGUGAUUUCCCCUCUGCUGUGCUUUUCCAGAGACUCUCUGACUUUGGGGUGCCCUGACUCUUGAAAGUGAAUCUGCUCUAAAUAUAUGGUGAGCCUUGCUUCUUGACCCAAACUUCUGAGAAAUUGUUCUUAACUUUAAGAACUGUACUCACUUCUGGGUGUCUAAGUGUAAGGCUGUGGGUUCUUAAUGUGAACAUUCAUUUAGAUAGAAUGGCAUUUCCAUCGAGGCCUGAAAGUUUUAUCAUUUUUAAAAAUGCA